GAUGAAGAACGCAGCGAAAUGCGAUAAGUAGUGUGAAUUGCAGAAUUUAGUGAAUCAUCGAAUCUUUGAACGCACAUUGCGCCCUAUAGUAUUCUGUAGGGCAUGCCUGUUCGAGCGUUAUUGAGACCUCAAGCUCUGCUUGGAAAUGGGCGCUUGUCUUGCCUUGCAGACUCGCCUUAAAACCAUUGGCAGCUGAUUUACAAUGUUUGGUGCACAGUACAUGAGCCCAAGUGUUGCAAUGAGUGGCCCAAAAGUAUACAAUAGAAGCUUAACCUCGGAUCAGGUAGGGAUACCCGCUGAACUUAAGCAUAUCAAUAACGGAGGA
rnacentral:misc_RNA from 1 species